rnacentral:rRNA from 1 species
UGGCGGACGGGUGAGUAAUGUCUGGGAAACUGCCCGAUGGAGGGGGGUAACUACUGGAAACGGUAGCUAAUACCGCAUAACGUCGCAAGACCAAAGAGGGGGACCUUCGGGCCUCUUGCCAUCGGAUGUGCCCAGAUGGGAUUAGCUAGUAGGUGGGGUAACGGCUCACCUAGGCGACGAUCCCUAGCUGGUCUGAGAGGAUGACCAGCCACACUGGAACUGAGACACGGCCCAG